UACGUAGGGUGCGAGCGUUGUCCGGAAUUAUUGGGCGUAAAGAGCUUGUAGGUGGUUUGUCGCGUCUGCUGUGAAAAUCCGAGGCUCAACCUCGGACUUGCAGUGGGUACGGGCAGACUAGAGUGUGGUAGGGGAGACUGGAAUUCCUGGUGUAGCGGUGGAAUGCGCAGAUAUCAGGAGGAACACCGAUGGCGAAGGCAGGUCUCUGGGCCAU
rnacentral:rRNA from 1 species